AUCCUGUCCACGCGACAGCCAGAAAUCUUAUCAGAGACAUCGUCUAUCUCGUCGAGUAAUCGUGUUUGACUGAUUCACAGGGUGAAAGGUAUUUUUGUGCUUGGAUGCUUUUAUGAGAAAAAAAGUUUGGAAGAUAUAAAGCAUUGAAUACAGUGGCGUGAUAUGUUUUUGAAGUAUGUAAAGAAAUUGAUAAUCUGUGAGUGACGGUGGUCAGUUGAAGUCUCAAGUAAUACAGGUAGGGAAGACAGUAAUUUUUCGACGUUAAUUAUCGACGAAGGAAAAAUGAAUUAUUUAAAAAAAUUGGAAGACUUAUCGAAGACGGGAAUAGAAACUGUGCAGUGAUCGUUUGGUUUAAAGCAUGAAAAUGGAUGCUUCACUGGCAAUAUCCGUUCUCAAUAAUUCGAGCCUUUAUCCGCGAAGAAAUUGAAUGUUAAUUUAUUAAGGAGAAGGAAGAGGAAAGGAAAAUUAUCUUUCUUCUGGCAAAUUCCUAUUGAUCG